GACGUAGGUGGCGAACGUUAUCCGGAAUUAUUGGGCGUAAAGGGUGCGUAGAUGGCCUGACAAGUUAGCGGUGGGAAAUCGAGGCUCAACCUCGUGGAAGCUGGUAAUACUGUCAAGCUUGAGUACAGGAGAGGUUAACGGAAUUCCUGGUGUAGCGGUGAAAUGCGCAGAUAUCAGGAGGAACACCGAUGGCGAAGGCAAUCCCCUGGGCCUGCACUGACGCUCAUGCACGAAAGCGUGGGGAGCGAACAGG
rnacentral:rRNA from 1 species